AAGAAAAAAGAAAGAAAAGAGAAGAAAAGCAGAGUAAUGGACGGAGGAGGACUGGCCUGGGGAGUGGAGACACCUGGCUUCUCUCUCCAACUCCACCUGUAGCUUGUUCACAGCCCCUCGGUGUCGCUAAGCAGCCUCACUCUGUAAGAGGCAAACAACCCCCUCUCACCUCCUCCAGCUGACACAAGACCAAGUGAGAGGCGUGAUGAGACCUGUUCUUCCAAGGACCAGGGGGCAGAAUCAAGAUGGGUGGAAGUUACAAGGAGGCAGAUUUCAGAUCACAAUCAGGAAGACAUUUCCAUUUACCAAAGUCCUUUCUACAGAUUCCUAAUCACCCAGAAAGCCUUCUCCCCUGGGAACUAGUCGAGCAGCAGACUGGUCAUCUGGCAGUGAUCCUGAACCCUGAGCCAUAAGGCCCCUUUGAAAUGGGACAGUCUGCAUGUUGGUUUAUGUGGAAGGGCUUUGGGAAGAAUCAAUGUGAGGCUAAUCGCUCAGGGGCUCGGACUUCUGGCUACCUUGGUCACUGCAGCAGGAGGAGAUAAAGCUGGAGGGGGGGUCAAGCACCCGCCCAGAAGUGAAUCCCGGCACUUCUGGCAUCUCACCGAACAGAAUUAGUCACGUGGCCCUGCCUAACCUCAAGGAGGUGCAUGCAGGAAGCAUAUGCAGAAAGGAGAGAAAAAUGGAUAGAGUCUGACAUUAUGAGACAACCAAAGCUGAUGGAAAAACCUAACUCUGUCUGGAGCAUUGUCAAUCUCAUGCCAGAAAGAAAAAGACAAGGCCAGUGGUGCCCUGACUUCCAGAACUCUGUACAAAAGUGACCAACGUCACUUCUUUGACUAAAGCAAGUCGUAUGGCCAUUCCAGAGGUCAACAGCAUGGGGAUACCCUUACAGAGAGGAGCAUGACAAAGGAAGAAACUGGAACUUUUGGUGAAUGAGAACCUGUCUCCACCACCUCCUCCUAGGAUGACUUCUUUCCCAGAGGUAACUGCUCUCAACCGUGCAAUCCCUUU